GCAAGCGAGCGAGAGAGAGAGAGAGAGAGAGACAUUUACAUCGACUUUUGAGCAUGGCUUCUCUGGCAGUCAGCAUCUAUUUUUCUUCUUCUGCUGUGUUUUUCUGUGCUGGUGUAUUUUUCUAUUUUGCUGUGUUUUUUUUGUUUCGUUUUGUUGUUCUGUUCUUCUGUGUUUUUUUGUAUUUUUCUAUUCUGCUAGCAACAUCUUUUCUAUUUUUAUUGAUUUGUUGUGUUAAUUUCUUGCGAUUUUUAUCAUGCAUCAAUUUACUGCCUAAUGUCAUCCAUUAACUAAUUGUCACUAUGCAAUUAUUUCAUUUUCUAUAAUGCUGAUACUACUUCCAGACUUUCAUGCAUCUUGCUCAUAAUAAACUAAUGUCUAAGUAAAAGAGGAAACAUAUAUUGUAUACUUUGGCUGAACCAUUGGGGGAGAGGGGAGUUGGAGGAGCGGGUUGAUCUCUACGGACCCAGAGUAAAAAAGGAAACAUCCAAUUAUUGCAAGAGCUUACCUCGUAAUUAUUCUUUUGAGGUGAAAAAACACUUAACUAUAUAUCAUAGGAUAGUUCGGUUGGUUUCUAUAAUCUUUCCUUGUAUUCUUUUGUUAAUAUGUAUUACAUCCUUUUAGUCUUUUUGCAAUUCUAUAUCAUGUUGACUAAUAUUAACUGUCGUGGCUAUGAGCUCUCUGUUUUAACAUUUAUUAACAAACUGUUUUCCUGCAAGGUUGAUGUUUCCAACAUAAUCAAUUAUUCUCUCGCAUAUUGGCCAAAGGUCAUGUCAUGCAGAUUAGCAUCCGCCAUUUUUAUAUUUGUAAUGCUGCCAAUCCUUUGCAGUAGCAUAAAUUGACAAAGAAGCAGUUAUUCAACCAUAGAUAUUCAAGGGUUCUGUUCAUUAUGCAUGGGCAAGUGUUCCCACAUACCCUAGUGGAGCGAUUGGAUUUCUAAUAUGCUCAAUGUGGAUUUUAUUCAUCCUAUCAAUCCUAUUAAAAAAGUAGAGGAAAGGCUGAAGUUUAGAAGAGAGCUGAGGUUUUACAACUCUGAGGAAGCAUUUGCUGUUGUGAGAGAGGCUUCAAAGAGGGUUCUUGGCAUUUGACCAUUUGAUGUGCAAUUGAUAGUAUGAUGGAUAAGAAUUGGAUGCGAUUGGAUGAUAGACUUUCUGACCAGUAUGUUAAUGGAGUUGAUAAUUAUUUGUGAUACCAACAUUGUUCGAGGUAUGUAUCCUGUGAGUGAUAGGAUUUAUUCACUCCCUCCGGGUGGUGGGUGAUCACCCCUUUUUUUAAAUUUUGAAUGUUUAG